UGAGCCUGAGGCUUUGGCAACAUGAGACAAUGGCACAGAUGUAACUAAACUAGGCCAGACAGUGGGGAGGUUAAAUGGGUGCCACGUCCGUGGGCAUGGGUGUGAGCACCAGUGCCCCCAUCCCGUGCACAGGUGUGUGAGUGUGCCAGUGCCCCCAUCCUGCUUAUGGGUGUGAGUGCCAGUGCCCCCAUCCCGUGCACAGGUGUGAGCACCAGUGCCCCCAUCCCAUCCAUGGGUGUGACUGCGCCAGUGCCCACAACCCACGCAUGGGUGUGAGCACACCAGGGCCCCCAUCCUGUGCAUGUGUG